rnacentral:rRNA from 1 species
CUAUCAUGCAAGUAGAACGCACAGGAUGCACCGUAGUUUACUACACCGUAUUCUGUGAGUUGCGAACGGGUGAGUAACGCGUAGGUAACCUGCCUGGUAGCGGGGGAUAACUAUUGGAAACGAUAGCUAAUACCGCAUAAGAACAUUUACUGCAUGGUAGAUGUUUAAAAGGUGCAAGAGCAUCACUACCAGAUGGACCUGCGUUGUAUUAGCUAGUUGGUGGGGUAACGGCUCACCAAGGCAACGAUACAUAGCCGACCUGAGAGGGUGAUCGGCCACACUGGGACUGAGACACGGCCCAGACUCCUACGGGAGGCAGCAGUAGGGAAUCUUCGGCAAUGGGGGGAACCCUGACCGAGCAACGCCGCGUGAGUGAAGAAGGUUUUCGGAUCGUAAAGCUCUGUUGUUAAGGAAGAACGUGUGUGAGAGUGGAAAGUUCACACAAUGACGGUACUUAACCAGAAAGGGACGGCUAACUACGUGCCAGCAGCCGCGGUAAUACGUAGGUCCCGAGCGUUGUCCGGAUUUAUUGGGCGUAAAGCGAGCGCAGGCGGUUAGAUAAGUCUGAAGUGAAAGGCAGUGGCUCAACCAUUGUAGGCUUUGGAAACUGUUUAACUUGAGUGCAGAAGGGGAGAGUGGAAUUCCAUGUGUAGCGGUGAAAUGCGUAGAUAUAUGGAGGAACACCGGUGGCGAAAGCGGCUCUCUGGUCUGUAACUGACGCUGAGGCUCGAAAGCGUGGGGAGCGAACAGGAUUAGAUACCCUGGUAGUCCACGCCGUAAACGAUGAGUGCUAGGUGUUAGGUCCUUUCCGGGACUUAGUGCCGCAGCUAACGCAUUAAGCACUCCGCCUGGGGAGUACGACCGCAAGGUUGAAACUCAAAGGAAAUUGACGGGGGCCCGCACAAGCGGUGGAGCAUGUGGUUUAAUUCGAAGCAACGCG